UGGGGAAUAUUGCACAAUGGGCGCAAGCCUGAUGCAGCCAUGCCGCGUGUGUGAAGAAGGCCUUCGGGUUGUAAAGCACUUUCAGCGGGGAGGAAGGCGAUAAGGUUAAUAACCUUGUCGAUUGACGUUACCUGCAGAAGAAGCACCGGCUAACUCCGUGCCAGCAGCCGCGGUAAUACGGAGGGUGCAAGCGUUAAUCGGAAUUACUGGGCGUAAAGCGCACGCAGGCGGUCUGUCAAGUCGGAUGUGAAAUCCCCGGGCUCAACCUGGGAACUGCAUUCGAAACUGGCAGGCUAGAGUCUUGUAGAGGGGGGUAGAAUUCCAGGUGUAGCGGUGAAAUGCGUAGAGAUCUGGAGGAAUACCGGUGGCGAAGGCGGCCCCCUGGACAAAGACUGACGCUCAGGUGCGAAGGCGUGGGGAGCAAACAGG
rnacentral:rRNA from 1 species